rnacentral:rRNA from 1 species
GAUGAACGCUGGCGGCGUGCCUAAUACAUGCAAGUCGAGCGAACGGACGAGAAGCUUGCUUCUCUGAUGUUAGCGGCGGACGGGUGAGUAACACGUGGAUAACCUACCUAUAAGACUGGGAUAACUUCGGGAAACCGUAGCUAAUACCGGAUAAUAUUUUGAACCGCAUGGUUCAAAAGUGAAAGACGGUCUUGCUGUCACUUAUAGAUGGAUCCGCGCUGCAUUAUCUAGUUGGUAAGGUAACGGCUUACCAAGGCAACGAUGCAUAGCCGACCUGAGAGGGUGAUCGGCCACACUGGAACUGAGACACGGUCCAGACUCCUACGGGGGGCAGCAGUAGGGAAUCUUCCGCAAUGGGCGAAAGCCUGACGGAGCAACGCCGCGUGAGUGAUGAAGGUCUUCGGAUCGUAAAACUCUGUUAUUAGGGAAGAACAUAUGUGUAAGUAACUGUGCACAUCUUGACGGUACCUAAUCAGAAAGCCACGGCUAACUACGUG